GACGAACGCUGGCGGCGUGCUUAACACAUGCAAGUCGAACGGAAAGGCCCUGCUUUUGUGGGGUGCUCGAGUGGCGAACGGGUGAGUAACACGUGAGUAACCUGCCCUUGACUUUGGGAUAACUUCAGGAAACUGGGGCUAAUACCGGAUAGGAGCUCCUGCUGCAUGGUGGGGGUUGGAAAGUUUCGGCGGUUGGGGAUGGACUCGCGGCUUAUCAGCUUGUUGGUGGGGUAGUGGCUUACCAAGGCUUUGACGGGUAGCCGGCCUGAGAGGGUGACCGGGCGGACGGGAACUGAGAAAGGGGCGAGACGGGUAAGGGAGGCAGGAGGGGGGAAUAGUGGAGAAUGGGCGCGAGGCGGAGGGAGCGAGAGCGCGGGGGUGAUGAAGGGGUUCGGGGUGGAAAGAAGGGGGGGUGGGAAAGAAAAGAAGAAGGGGAAGACACAGCUGGGCUGACGGUACAGAAGGAAUAAGCACAGGAGAAAUGGGGG
rnacentral:rRNA from 1 species